rnacentral:rRNA from 1 species
UGCUCUCGGGUGACGAGCGGCGGACGGGUGAGUAAUGUCUGGGAAACUGCCUGAUGGAGGGGGAUAACUACUGGAAACGGUAGCUAAUACCGCAUAAUGUCGCAAGACCAAAGUGGGGGACCUUCGGGCCUCAUGCCAUCAGAUGUGCCCAGAUGGGAUUAGCUAGUAGGUGGGGUAACGGCUCACCUAGGCGACGAUCCCUAGCUGGUCUGAGAGGAUGACCAGCCACACUGGAACUGAGACACGGUCCAGACUCCUACGGGAGGCAGCAGUGGGGAAUAUUGCACAAUGGGCGCAAGCCUGAUGCAGCCAUGCCGCGUGUGUGAAGAAGGCCUUCGGGUUGUAAAGCACUUUCAGCGGGGAGGAAGGCGUUAAGGUUAAUAACCUUGUCGAUUGACGUUACCCGCAGAAGAAGCACCGGCUAACUCCGUGCCAGCAGCCGCGGUAAUACGGAGGGUGCAAGCGUUAAUCGGAAUUACUGGGCGUAAAGCGCACGCAGGCGGUCUGUCAAGUCGGAUGUGAAAU